GGCUGUUGUAGCUCAAUGGCAGAGCCCAUGUGUAGCACACAGGAUGCCCCAGGUUCAAUCCCUGGCAACUCCA